GAAGAAGGGUAGUUUCUGUGAAAAUAAACUUGAAUCCCUUGGAAAAGCCUGAUAAAGGCAAGUUGCUUAACAAAUUUCUGCAAAUGAGUGGCGUGGAAAAUGGUGACAGCAUGACAAAGCCACACGGAGACCGUGCAGGUCUCAGGAAAUCUACAGAAGGCAGAAAUACUAACAUUGCCAUCAAAGGCAGGGGACCCUGGCUCCGACUGCCAUCCCCGCCACCGUCCCCUGAACAACCUGCGUAAGUUAUUUUCCAUCCCUUGGCCUCAGCCUCAUCUGUAAAGUGGGUGAAUGUGAUGGUGUGAGAAGCACUCGACACUGAGAAGACCCUGUCUGCUUCCAAGUGGGGUCACACGAGGAUUUAAUUACAGCAAAUUAAUUUAAAUUGAAUGAGACAGUGCAUGCAAAAUAUGUGGCCUCGGGCAGAAUCUCGGUGGUAAAUGCUAGUCCUGCUGGGGCUCUGAGACACCUCCGGGCUCAGCUGUUCCAGCUGGGGGCCAGGGAGGCAGCACCUGGAGGUGGCACCCCGACUGAAGGCAGAGUGGGCCAGCUCCUCCCCUGCCGCCUGCCUGUGUGCCAGCCCAGACCCCAGGGCCUUCCUCACACAGAGACAAGGACAUGGGCUGGCCAGCAUGGACUUGAACCAAAGCCCGAGGCUCUUCAUCUGAACUCAGAUGCCCACUGGGACCCGCCCUCUCUGUGCCCACUGCAAAUCCACCCCCAAAGCCAUACACCGGCCUGGAGGCAACCCCGCGCUCCUCUGUGUCUUAUCAAGCCUGGCGGAAGCGAAGGAACACAUGCUUCUCUUCUGCCCUCCUAGGUUCUGCGACCCUGGGCCUGCCUGAAACCCCACUCAUCCCAGGCCUGUCUCCUGUGACUUUAAACCGUGUUCACGGUGAGACACGGGUGGCCGCUGUGAAAGACGACAUGAGUGGAGCCAUAUUAAAAUACAGCCAGGGCAGCCAUUUCAGAAGAAUUUCAUUUUACAUCUUGUUUUCAUUAUCUUCCAAACUGAACCAAACCGCCAACAUCCCAAGAAGUCAGAAAGGACGAGAAUAUCCUGUCUGCAAGGACUCAUGCAACUGGACUUAGCUGAGGACUGGAUUGCUAACCAAUCGACGGAGUACGAGGCUGGCCUUCUGCCUGAUGACCGAACCUCGGCCAAUCUACGAAGCGCAAAUCUAGCCUGACCUCAUCCAGCACCAACGAACUCUUCUUUAAUACAACUCAACUCAUCCUCCCUUUUUCCCGGAAAAACCCUGAGCCCGUCUCCUCGAAUCGGGGCACUAUUUGGGUUUCUACCUGAAUUGCUCCCGAAUUGCAAUUCUUUGAUCCCAAAUAAACGCUUUGCCUCUUA